rnacentral:rRNA from 1 species
GACGAACCGUGCGAACGUUAUUCGGAAUCACUGGGCUUAAAGGGCGCGUAGGCGGGCCGCAUAGUCAGGGGUGAAAUCCUCCAGCUUAACUGGAGAAGUGCCUUUGAUACUGGCGGCCUCGAGGGGUGCAGGGGCGUGCGGAACUUCGGGUGGAGCGGUGAAAUGCGUAGAUAUCCGAAGGAACACCGGUGGCGAAGGCGGCACGCUGGACACCUUCUGACGCUGAGGCGCGAAAGCCAGGGGAGCAAACGGG